rnacentral:hammerhead_ribozyme from 1 species
AUGCAGCUGACGACUCCCAAAUAGGACGAAACGCGCGUUCUGGAU